rnacentral:tRNA from 1 species
GCUGUUUUAGCUCAGUGGUAGAGUGUCUGAUCCAUGGUCAGGUGGUCGGCGGUUCGAUUCCACCAAACAGCA